rnacentral:rRNA from 1 species
CCUACGGGAUGCAGCAGUGAGGAAUAUUGGUCAAUGGACGAGAGUCUGAACCAGCCAAGUAGCGUGAAGGAUGACUGCCCUAUGGGUUGUAAACUUCUUUUAUAAAGGAAUAAAACGAGGCACGUGUGCCUUUUUGCAUGUACUUUAUGAAUAAGGAUCGGCUAACUCCGUGCCAGCAGCCGCGGUAAUACGGAGGAUCCGAGCGUUAUCCGGAUUUCUUGGGAUUAAAGGGAGCGUAGAUGGGUUGUUAAGUCAGUUGUGAAAGUUUGCGGCUCAACCGUAAAAUUGCAAUUGAUACUGGCAGUCUUGAGUACAGUUGAGGUAGGCGGAAUUCGUGGUGUAGCGGUGAAAUGCUUAGAUAUCACGAAGAACCCCGAUUGCGAAGGCAGCUUACUAAACUGUGACUGACAUUGAUGCUCGAAAGUGUGGGUAUCAAACAGGAUUAGAUACCCCAGUAGUC